rnacentral:rRNA from 1 species
GCUUACGGCCACACCUCCCUGAGCACGCCCGAUCUCGUCUGAUCUCGGAAGCUAAGCAGGGUCGGCCCGGUUAGUAAUUGGAUGGGAGACCGCUGGGAAUACCAGGUGCUGAAGGCC